rnacentral:rRNA from 1 species
UACGAAGGGGGCUAGCGUUGCUCGGAAUCACUGGGCGUAAAGCGCACGUAGGCGGCUGUUCAAGUCGGGGGUGAAAUCCCGUGGCUCAACCACGGAAUGGCCUUCGAUACUGGACGGCUCGAGACCGGAAGAGGUGAGUGGAACUGCGAGUGUAGAGGUGAAAUUCGUAGAUAUUCGCAAGAACACCAGUGGCGAAGGCGGCUCACUGGUCCGGUUCUGACGCUGAGGCGCGAAAGCGUGGGGAGCAAACAGG